UUUCGAAAACAUUGCAUUUACAG
rnacentral:miRNA from 1 species